CACACCGCCCGUCACACCAUGGGAGUGGGUUUCACCAGAAGCCGUGCUUAACCGCCAACGGAGAGGGGCGUCGACCACGGUGAGAUUCAUGACUGGGGUG
rnacentral:rRNA from 1 species